AGUUCGGACUGGAGUCUGCAACCCGACUCCACGAAGUUGGAUUCGCUAGUAAUCGCGCAUCAGCCAUGGCGCGGUGAAUACGUUCCCGGGCCUUGUACACACCGCCCGUCAAGCCAUGGGAGCCGGGGGCGCCUGAAGUCCGGGACCGCGAGGACCGGCCUAGGGCGAAACUGGUAACUGGGGCUAAGUCGUAACAAGGUAAC
rnacentral:rRNA from 1 species